rnacentral:lncRNA from 1 species
AAAAUUCUAAUUAAAUUUAAAUAUUAUAAGAAUUAUUUUUUAGUCCGACACAGCACCAAAUAUAAGUCUUCACUAUUUUAUUGGUGCUUACAAUUUCUACAGCCUUUUUAGAAAUAAAAGUAAACAUUAAAUCAUAUAAAGCACGAUAGUUUAUAAUUUCAUUGACUAAUUUUCAAUAAUUAUUUUUUAUACACAAUAUUGGUGAGGUGAAAUUGAACCUAGGACCUCAAGUGCAAGGCUGAAUGCUAAUAUCCACUAAACUUUAGCAUAAAA